GACGAACGCUGGCGGCGUGCCUAACACAUGCAAGUCGAACGGGGCUCUUUGGAUCGAGACUUCGGUCAAGUGAAUCUGAGCUUAGUGGCGGACGGGUGAGUAACGCGUGAGCAACCUGCCUUUCAGAGGGGGACAACAGUUGGAAACGACUGCUAAUACCGCAUGAUGCAUUUGGGUCGCAUGGCCUGGAUGCCAAAGAUUUAUCGCUGAAAGAUGGCCUCGCGUCUGAUUAGCUAGUUGGUGAGGUAACGGCCCACCAAGGCGACGAUCAGUAGCCGGACUGAGAGGUUGACCGGCCACAUUGGGACUGAGAUACGGCCCAG
rnacentral:rRNA from 1 species